rnacentral:snRNA from 1 species
AUGCUUAGCGUAAUCCUGGGAGAUACCAUGAUUGGGAAGGUGGUUUUCCCAGGGCGAGUCUUACCCAUCACACUCUGGAUGUGCUGAUGCCCAAGAUUUCCCCAGAUGUGGCGGGAAGCUCUACUGCAUCAUUUGUGGUGAUGGGGAACUGCAUUCUUGAUUUCCCCGG